rnacentral:tRNA from 1 species
UCUCGAUUCGUCUAGUGGUUAGGAUACCUGCUUGUCAUGGCACAAAUACGCAGGUGGCCGGGGUUCAAUUCCCCGAUCGAGAG